GGCCAGCAUGGUGUAGUGCUUUUAAUGUUGAACUAUGACUCUGAAGACCAGGGUUCAAAUCCCUAGUUGGCCA